rnacentral:rRNA from 1 species
UGGGGAGUAUUGCACAAUGGGGGAAGGACCCUGAUGCAGCGACGCCGCGUGAGUGAAGAAGUAUUUCGGUAUGUAAAGCUCUAUCAGCAGGGAAGAAAAUGACGGUACCUGACUAAGAAGCCCCGGCUAACUACGUGCCAGCAGCCGCGGUAAUACGUAGGGGGCAAGCGUUAUCCGGAUUUACUGGGUGUAAAGGGAGCGUAGACGGUAUGGCAAGUCUGAAGUGAAAGCCCCGGGCUCAACCCGGGAACUGCUUUGGAAACUGUUAAAACUGGAGUGCUGGAGAGGCAGGCGGAAUUCCUAGUGUAGCGGUGAAAUGCGUAGAUAUUAGGAGGAACACCAGUGGCGAAGGCGGCCUGCUGGACAGUAACUGACGUUGAGGCUCGAAAGCGUGGGGAGCAAACAGGAUUAGAUACCC